rnacentral:rRNA from 1 species
AUUGAACGCUGGCGGCAUGCCUUACACAUGCAAGUCGAACGGCAGCACGGGGCAACCUGGUGGCGAGUGGCGAACGGGUGAGUAAUGCAUCGGAACGUGCCAUUGAGUGGGGGAUAACGUAGCGAAAGUUGCGCUAAUACCGCAUAUUCUGUGAGCAGGAAAGCAGGGGACCGCAAGGCCUUGCGCUCUUUGAGCGGCCGAUGUCAGAUUAGCUAGUUGGUGAGGUAACGGCUUACCAAGGCGACGAUCUGUAGCGGGUCUGAGAGGAUGAUCCGCCACACUGGAACUGAGACACGGUCCAGACUCCUACGGAGGCAGCAGUGGGGAAUUUUGGACAAUGGGCGCAAGCCUGAUCCAGCCAUGCCGCGUGAGUGAAGAAGGCC